rnacentral:rRNA from 1 species
CAGUAGCCGCGGGAAUACGUAGGUGGCAAGCGUUGUCCGGAAUUAUUGGGCGUAAAGGGCUCGCAGGCGGUUUCUUAAGUCUGAUGUGAAAGCCCCCGGCUCAACCGGGGAGGGUCAUUGGAAACUGGGAAACUUGAGUGCAGAAGAGGAGAGUGGAAUUCCACGUGUAGCGGUGAAAUGCGUAGAGAUGUGGAGGAACACCAGUGGCGAAGGCGACUCUCUGGUCUGUAACUGACGCUGAGGAGCGAAAGCGUGGGGAGCGAACAGGAUUAGAUACCCCUGUAGUCCCUGUCUCUUAUAC